AAAAGCUGUCAUAUCCUAGAAACACUUAUGUAUAUGCCUCAUUCAUGAAAGCACUGCGCAUAACAAUUAAUUAAUCAGUCGUCUUCGUUAAACUAACUGACACACUCGAAAUCAGUUUGUAAGGUAGCUUGUCGUGAUCUCGGCCUAAAAGUAGGCACUUAAUUAGGUCGUGCUUAAGGUCGGGAAAAAUGUUAACUAGGCUGUCAGGAAGAGCAUUUCUCCAACUGCAAUUUUUGGAGUUCAGACUCGGGGUCCCGACCCGAAGCGGUAGCCACUGGGCAUUAAUUGCGUUUAUACCAGCGAACGAGAAAGUGCGUCUGUGCUGUCCGAGAAUUAAAGUGAUCUCUCAAAAAAAUACAGAAAAAAAUGAGAAAUUCAACAAGUCAAUAAUUCAACCAAUUCAACCAAACCCCAGUGAAUCGGAAAAUUUAUAUUUCGAUUAACUUUAGUGCCAGCCCCUAGAGGGUGGCACCUAGGAAAAUAUUUAAUUUUCAAGAGAAUAACCAAUGCCAGUGCGACCAGUGAAGGAAACAUAAAUUUGCCGACCAGGAGGUCUAAUUCUGGAUUGCAUCAGACAGCAGCCACCGUUAAGCGCAGGAAAAUGAUUUAAUUGAAUUCAAUAACAUUAUCUACAUAUAUACCCAUUUUUACCUUACACCGCUUCACACCUGACCGACUGCUUGUUAAGCAGAUCGGCAAACAGUCAAGCAGAUCAGCAUAAGAUAUUCCGAUAGGAAAAAAAUAAAUUCACCUUAUGUUAGGAAAUUAAUUUAAGUUAUGUUGUAAGAGAAUAGAAUUCAUUUAGGGCAA